UACAGAGGUCCCAAGCGUUGUUCGGAUUCAUUGGGCGUAAAGGGUGCGUAGGUGGCGCCGUAAGUCAGGUGUGAAAUUUCGGAGCUUAACUCCGAAACUGCAUUUGAUACUGCGGUGCUUGAGGACUGGAGAGGAGACUGGAAUUUACGGUGUAGCAGUGAAAUGCGUAGAGAUCGUAAGGAAGACCAGUGGCGAAGGCGGGGCUCUGGACAGUUCCUGACACUGAGGCACGAAGGCCAGGGGAGCAAACGGG
rnacentral:rRNA from 1 species